AGAGUUCCCAGAAUCCUAGUGGACCUUGAUUUACUUCCUCUUGUCCUACGCGAGACAAGGAGGAGUGGAGGGUAAAGUUGGUCUCGCUCUGCCUUUCCAUGAAACCAUGUGCUCGAUAGAAGAAAGUUGCCAGCGGUUUAAGCAUUUUUAAAAUGCAAGAAAUAGCUCUAUAGAACAGGCUCGAACCACCCACCUCCAGGCUUGGAAGCAAGCAUACCAACCGACUGAGACACACAGUCAACUCUCGUUCUGGUAUCACCAGACCAAGGGACGAUCCAACGUUCGGCGGAGCUACUGCCUUUUGUAGAACAAUUGUGCAGGCUCCAAAGCCUCGGAAAACCUGAGAGGCGCAUCUUGCUGGCUACGGUUGAAACCCGUGCAUUGGGUGAUUCCGAAGCUGGAAGGGCAGCGGAAUGGCCUUCGCCCCGUCCUGACCCUCGCAGGCGUCAGACCCAGCAUCCCAGGAAACGCCCGGGUCCGCGACUCCCUGGGCCUGAGCCGCGUGGGUCCCAGGGGAAGCAAGCAGAACGCCCCGUGGGCUCUAGUGAUGGCUCUUCCCCUUCUUGGCUCCGCCUUCACCCGAUUCUCUACUGCUGCUUGCGCUCCCCUCGCUCACCUCGGCCUCGGUCGGUGGGGCGGGAGAGAGGAGGGGUGAAAAGCAGAAAUACGGAGAGGCCCCACAGAAGCAGAGGAGGUGCGGACCAGGACAGAGAGACCUCCCGAGAGAGGCUGGUGCAGGGAGGCCCAGGCUGGAGUGGAGGAGAUGAGAAUUGUUCUCAUCACGUAUGAAGAUUGGGAGGAAGGGAGGGAAAAGCAGAGCGGGCAUGAAAGAAAAGCGCGAGUCCCCUGUGGCUGUCUGGGAACGAAUCCGCCUAAUAAUCGAAAUCCAUUGACGUCAAAAGGGCUAGAGCAAGCUCCGCCAUCGCGGCUUAGCCUGUGGCUCGCCGUGAUCGUAUAGUGGUUAGUACUCUGCGUUGUGGCCGCAGCAACCUCGGUUCGAAUCCGAGUCACGGCAAUGUCGUUAGUCUAGGCUGUCAGCUCUUCCCUUUUGCUCCCGCAACCAGGCGCGUCAGGGGAAGGAAAAGAGACCUCACACCUUACUAACUUGGCGAGGAAUCCAAGGGAAACCCUGGACGUGCUCCCUCCUGUUUCUGAGCCUCACGCAGCAAAUAACCCAGUCGGCCCUGUUGGUGGCUUACACGAAGGCAAUGGUGUGCUCAGAACCGUUCUUCCGGUCACUGGGGGCACGUCGGGGUAAGGAAAAGAGACCUCACAGCUCACUAACCUGGGGAGGAGUCCAAGGGAAACUCUGGACGUGCACCGUCCUGUCUCUGAGCCUCACAGAGCAAAUAACCCAGUCAGCCCUGUUGGUGGUGGCUUACACGAAGGCAAUGGUGUGCUCAGAACCUGUUUUCCAGUCACUGGGGCUGUUACACACGAAACGACAAGAAGCUUUUAAUGACUUUAAACUCCAAACUCUUUGUUGUGGCCUACAAUGGCUUGUCUCUGUGCCCGUCACCAAGUUUGUAUGCCAACAGCAAAGUGUGAGGAAAGGCAAUCUGGUGCCAGGGGUCUUUCCACCUCCACUCUGCCACGUAGGAAUGGGCCUUGGGCCUGGAGCACUUCCUUCCUGAGAGAUAAGGAGUCAUCACAGCCUGUGCUGGACUCACCUCCUUGUGUGGGAGUAUCUUUCCCCCGAUCAGACUUGGUGUGUACCCCUUUGUUCCACUUAAGCAUGUGCAUCAACUGGCACCUGGCCAGCUGCUGUAUCUGCCCCCCACUGAGGGGAGGAAGCGGGGGUCCUUUCUUCUGCUUCUCAAGAGGCUGUGUGUGCAGGCCAAAUGGAGGGACCUGCUGGCCAUGGGGGACCAACGCCCAAGACUGAAGCGGAGCCCACACCCCGCUCUGUCUCCUCUCUGUAUGAAUAAUGUGUUGUUCUCCCGUCCAGUCUCUGACUGCCUUGUAUUUCCUUGGCGACUCUGAUACCAAGAGGCUAGGGCCAGAAGUGUUCAGACUCCUGCUGAUAGGAAACCGAUGCCACUUGCUGGACAAGAUGAACGAAAAUUCUUCUUGUAUAGGUCUUUUUGUGGACACGUGCAUUCAUUUCCCUUGAGGAAUACCAAGUACUGGAAUUGUUGGAUCAUAGGAUCGGCCCUUUCUUCAAAUAAGAGCAGUUGGAACAACAAAAGCUGUUCAGUUGUACCCUUGGAAUCCACGGAAAUCCUGGGUAGGGAAGCUCCAGUACCACCAACUGGAAAGACUGGGAAUGCCUAGUAGCUGGUACUGGCCAUUGUCGUAGGCUUUGUCCACUUUGACAAACUGAAGACGGGGACUCGACUCACCUUCGCCAGCCACAGGAGGACCUCCAGACGAGGUUAGGUCGACUUCAUGGUAACUUUAGAUCUUGAAACCUCACAGGAUUUUUCUUCUCUUCCCCUUGAUCUCUCUUCCGCUUACUCAACAGGACCGGACUCGCCGCCUUUCUUUCCCGUCAGAAAGGGAUCCCUUGCGGACAAGACCGAAGUGAGUAGCUGGUUUCCCCUACGUGUCCUUCCGGGGCUGGGUGUCUCGGGAGCUCAGGCUGACAGGAGACCUAACUACCGGCGACUGAGACCAGCAGGAGCCUGGAGGGGCGCGCACCAGGGUGGAGGUUUGGUGCCGGGGGUUGAGAACAACAGUCAAACCCUCUUCUUCCCUGUACCGCGCACCUGCCCCCUGGGAUGCCGAACGAAGUGGCCCCUAAGGCUUCUCUGCAGGUCCAACCGAAACAGGCCUGAAGUUCCAGGAUGGGCGAGAGGAUCCUCUUUGAGCGAAACCAGCCUUCUGCCUGGCUGGCCCUGGUCAACACACUCGGAAGAGGCCGAUUUGGAGGACAGAACGGAAGAAAAGACCUAAAGUAGAUGAUCCUCAUCCAAUCACUUAAAGGCCUGAAUAGAACCAAAAGUCUGACCUGCCCAUGAGUAAGAGAGAGCUCCUUCUGCCUGAUUGCUUCAGCUGAGAUAUCAGCCUUUUCCUGCCUUUGGAAUUGAACUGCAACACUGGCUCUUCCUGGGCCUCAAGCCUGCCAGCUUUUGAACUGUAAUCACACCAUCAUCUCUCCUGGUUCUCAGGCCUUUGGACUCAAAUCAGAAACACACCAUGGGCUCUCCUGUGUCUCAAGCUUGCCAACUGUGAUCUUGAGACUUCUCAGCCUCCAUAAUCACAUGAGUCAAUUGUUGGUUCUGUUUCUCUGGAGAACCCUAAUCCAUCACUUUACAUAUUUCUUCCAUUACACAUAUUGUUUCCCAGCAUAUUAAAUAAUUUACUGAUUA
rnacentral:tRNA from 1 species